AGUAAUGCCUGGGAAUUUGCCCAUUUGUGGGGGAUAACAGUUGGAAACGACUGCUAAUACCGCAUACGCCCUACGGGGGAAAGCAGGGGACCUUCGGGCCUUGCGCUGAUGGAUAAGCCCAGGUGGGAUUAGCUAGUAGGUGAGGUAAAGGCUCACCUAGGCGACGAUCCCUAGCUGGUCUGAGAGGAUGAUCAGCCACACUGGGACUGAGACACGGCCCAGACUCCUACGGGAGGCAGCAGUGGGGAAUAUUGCACAAUGGGGGAAACCCUGAUGCAGCCAUGCCGCGUGUGUGAAGAAGGCCUUCGGGUUGUAAAGCACUUUCAGCGAGGAGGAAAGGGUGUAAGUUAAUACCUUACAUCUGUGACGUUACUCGCAGAAGAAGCACCGGCUAACUCCGUGCCAGCAGCCGCGGUAAUACGGAGGGUGCGAGCGUUAAUCGGAAUUACUGGGCGUAAAGCGUGCGCAGGCGGUUUGUUAAGCGAGAUGUGAAAGCCCCGGGCUCAACCUGGGAACCGCAUUUCGAACUGGCAAACUAGAGUCUUGUAGAGGGGGGUAGA
rnacentral:rRNA from 1 species